AACGGAGAGGGCGAGUGUUAUUCAUCGUGAUUGGGCGUAAAGGGUACGUAGACGGCUUUUCAAGUUUUGGUUCAAAUGCCACGGCGUAACCGUGGUCGCUCCAAAAAUACUGUUUUGCUAGAGUUCAAUAGAGGUUGACGGUACUCUUAAGGUAAAGGUGACAAUUAUCGAUCUUAAGGGGACCCUCAAAGGCGAAGGCAGUUAACCAGAUUGAACUGACGUUGAGGUACGGAGGCGUGGGGAUCGGAACGGG
rnacentral:rRNA from 1 species